UGGGGAAUCUUGCGCAAUGGGCGAAAGCCUGACGCAGCAACGCCGCGUGUGUGAAGAAGGCCCUUGGGUCGUAAAGCACUGUCGGAAGGGAAGAAAAAAAUGACGGUACCUUCCAAGGAAGCACCGGCUAACUCCGUGCCAGCAGCCGCGGUAAUACGGAGGGUGCAAGCGUUGUUCGGAAUCAUUGGGCGUAAAGCGCGCGCAGGCGGUCGAUCAAGUCUGAUGUGAAAUCCCAGGGCUCAACCUUGGGCGUGCAUUGGAAACUGGUCGACUGGAGUUUGGGAGAGGUUAGUGGAAUUCCAGGUGUAGGGGUGAAAUCCGUAGAGAUCUGGAGGAACACCGGUGGCGAAGGCGACUGACUGGACCAAUACUGACGCUGAGGCGCGAAAGCGUGGGGAGCAAACA
rnacentral:rRNA from 1 species